rnacentral:lncRNA from 1 species
UGAAAUACUAAUAUAUUUACCAAUUAUUACAUUAAAUAAAUAAAUUAAAUUAGCAUUUUAUAAUUAAUGCAAAAUUUAAUAUCUCUGAAAAAAUUGCAUUAGACACUAAAUCCCUAACCACAUAAAACUCUGAUGGUGUUCCAUCAGAAGCAAAAAAGUAGACAAAAAGCGGCUAAAAAAUAAUUUACAGAUUUUUUUUUCCUUUGUACAUUUUUUUCUGUUAAUUUUUCCUUUGUACAUUUUUUUCUGUUAAUUUUUCCUUUGUUCUGAUGAACCCACAAAUUUGUUAAUAUGAGGGGUAAAAAAGAAAUGAUCUUUUCUACCAGCACUGAUCCGUUUCCCACUUGCGGGUCUGGUAGUACAACCCGGAAGAUCCAUUCGG